GACGAACGCUGGCGGCGUGCUUAACACAUGCAAGUCGAACGGUGAAGCGCCUUCCUUUUUGGUGGGUGUGGAUGAGUGGCGAACGGGUGAGUAACACGUGAGUAACCUGCCCCCUUCUUCUGGAUAACCGCAUGAAAGUGUGGCUAAUACGGGAUAUUCUGGGUCUGUCGCAUGAUGGGUCUGGGAAAGUUAUUGUUUCGGUGGGGGAUGGGCUCGCGGCCUAUCAGCUUGUUGGUGGGGUGAUGGCCUACCAAGGCGGUGACGGGUAGCCGGCCUGAGAGGGUGGACGGUCACACUGGGACUGAGACACGGCCCAGACUCCUACGGGAGGCAGCAGUGGGGAAUAUUGCACAAUGGGCGCAAGCCUGAUGCAGCGACGCCGCGUGAGGGAUGGAGGCCUUCGGGUUGUGAACCUCUUUCGCCAGUGAAGCAGGCCUGCCUCGUAUGUGGGUGGGUUGACGGUAGCUGGAGAAGAAGCGCCGGCUAACUACGUG
rnacentral:rRNA from 1 species